GUAACAAGGUUUCCGUAGGUGAACCUGCGGAAGGAUCAUUACCGAGUGCGGGUCCUCGUGGCCCAACCUCCCACCCGUGACUAUUGUACCUUGUUGCUUCGGCGGGCCCGCCAGCUUGCUGGCCGCCGGGGGGCGUCUCGCCCCCGGGCCCGUGCCCGCCGGAGACCCCAACAUGAACCCUGUUCUGAAAGCUUGCAGUCUGAGUUGUGAUUCUUUGCAAUCAGUUAAAACUUUCAACAAUGGAUCUCUUGGUUCCGGCAUCGAUGAAGAACGCAGCGAAAUGCGAUAACUAAUGUGAAUUGCAGAAUUCAGUGAAUCAUCGAGUCUUUGAACGCACAUUGCGCCCCCUGGUAUUCCGGGGGGCAUGCCUGUCCGAGCGUCAUUGCUGCCCUCAAGCCCGGCUUGUGUGUUGGGUCCUCGUCCCCCGGCUCCCGGGGGACGGGCCCGAAAGGCAGCGGCGGCACCGCGUCCGGUCCUCGAGCGUAUGGGGCUUUGUCUUCCGCUCUGUAGGCCCGGCCGGCGCCCGCCGACGCAUUUUUUUGCAACUUGUUUUUUUCCAGGUUGACCUCGGAUCAGGUAGGGAUACCCGCUGAACUUAAGCAUAUC
rnacentral:misc_RNA from 1 species